UGAGCUCGACUUCAUAAUAAUUGAGUUCGAGCUUGGGUUUGUUGAGCUUGUUAUGCUUAAGCUCGAACUCAAUUCGAGUUCAAUUUGAUUCGUUUUGAAUUCAAAUUUUUAAUUAAUUCGUUACUAAAACAAUAUUGUUUUGUAUCAAAAAUUUUAAUGUACAAACUUUCACAAGAAAGCUCGAGCUCAAGCUGGCUUAGGACUGACUCCUUUCAAGCUCGUUCGAGUCAUACUCGAAUUCGAGUUAGAACGAGUUCGGCUCGAAUCCAACUACAAUGAGAGGUAUUCAUAACAUAAGUUAAAUACCCAUUAUAAAAUGUUGUCCUUCAAUAAACAUAGUUGUAAAAGAGUAUUAUAAAAAAGUUUAUAAAUGUACACCUACAAUGUGGUACUAGAACAGAUACACAUAUAUUGUAAACUCCUAUAAUUUAGGAGAUUCACAUGGCUUGAGUGUCAAAAUUUUUAUUUCAAUUUAGUCCCAUCAGCAUGGUAAUGAGAUGAUAUUAAAAUGUUUCCACCACAGGAUUUGAAAUAAAAUUUUGUGUAUAUUGCAUUUUUUGUUAUUCGAGUUUGAGUAUAUAGAUGAACCUCACAUAGUGAGAGAAAAAGAAUAAGAAUGUGAGAUUCAGAUGUGAAAAGGAAAACGAGAAAGAAUCUAGGAUAAGAAACUUUACUUACUCAAGAGAUUUCUACUCAUUUAUUUUCUUUCAUAUUUUGCAGCGGACAGGUGGUAGUAGUGACGGCAUAGAGAUGGGUUAAUCAAGGUUUCGGCAGAUUCAGAUAUCAACAGCUGUCAUUGGAUAAAGUUAUGGCAUUGAACAAUGUCGGAUCAUUGUGAAGCUCCAUUAUUAUGAAGUAGACUGUUGGGGAGGUGGGCCUAUGAACAUUUGCAAUUGGAACUGGUAAAGCUAGGAAGGAUGCUAAAGGAGGUGCAGCCACAGAUGCCCCAAAAGCAUCAAUUUUGAGCAAAGAAGUCAAGUGAAGAAAAUUGAUACUUUUCUUUAUGAAGAUCUAAAAGGAGCAAGAAUUAAGGAAAAGAAAAUUUUGUGGGAGGCAUCAUUUCUUUGUCCUGUGUUAUGCAUUUUUUCUUCUGGGAUUCCUUCAAUGUAGUUGACUUGCAUAUUGUAGAAUUUGUGAAAUGCAAUUGAAGAGAAAGUAUCCAUGAUUUAACA